UGAAAAAAAGGUUCUGUUUGCUUUACGUUCUUAAUUCUUAUGGCCAAUUUUGACCUUUCAAGAAAGCCGGAGAUGUUUGCCGGACUGCAGUUCACCAGCUCUCCGGUCACCAGCUGCUGUGUUUAGGAAAGGCGAAGGGAUGAGUUUACAAGAAUGAGAUUGCAGCUUAGAAUUCCUGCAAUUGAAAGGGUUUUUUUUACAUGUGAAGAUUCUGUACAGUAUUUUGAAAAUGGAUUUCAUAUUCUUAAAGUUCUUUCCAACUGCUGAGGAGUCAAUGGAUUACUAUAAUGAAAAAUGAUGUGUUGAUGGAAAAGGACUUGUUCUGCCCAGUCAGAUUGUAAGAGGUAUGUCAAAUAUUAUAUAUGGAGGGACCAAAUCCAGUUUCAAGUGCACAAGGAAGCACGUCAGAAAAUUCAGAUUUCUUCAAGGACUUAUUGAUGUGUAUAUGAGGAAUUCAUUAUUUACAGGACUGUUAAUUUAUUUGGUAUCUUUGGUGAGUGUUGGUUGCAGUUUGCAACCUAAGAUCAG